GGUGGGAAGGCGUGUCACCUCGUUUUCGGCUACCUGCGUGCCGUGGGGACGCUUUGGCGUACUGGCUCUCAUUCCUUAAAGGGUCGAUAGCUGUCAAGUGCAAAUCCUGUGUAUGAGAAGUUCUAUCGACAGGUUGAUUCUGCCAAUACUGGAAGAGUGUUAGCUUCUGAUGCAGC